UGUGUGUUUAUUUGGGGCUAAAUGGCU
rnacentral:piRNA from 1 species